CCCUUAGAUGUUCGGGGCCGCACGCGCGCUACACUGAAGGAAUCAGCACGUCUUUCUCCUUGUCCGAAAGGACUGGGUAACCCGCUGAACCUCCUUCGUGCUAGGGAUUGGGGCUUGUAAUUCUUCCCCAUGAACGAGGAGUUCCCAGUAAGCGCGAGUCAUAAGCUCGCGUUGAUUACGUCCCUGCCCUUUGUACACACCGCCCGUCGCUACUACCGAUUGGAUGGUUUAGUGAGAUCCUCGGAUUGGUCCCGGAGCGGCCUCUGGUCGUGCCGGAGUGCCGAAAAGAAUGUCGAACUUGAUCAUCUAGAGGAAGUAAAAGUCGUAACA
rnacentral:rRNA from 1 species